rnacentral:rRNA from 1 species
GAGUAACACGUGGGUGACCUACCUCAAAGUGGGGAACAACAGACCGAAAGGUUGCUAAUACCGCAUUCGUUCGGCGAUUCAAUUGCCGAAUAAAGUCGCAAGACGCUUUGGGAGGGGCCCGCGUCCCAUCAGGUAGUUGGUGAGGUAAUAGCCCACCAAGCCGAUGACGGGUAGCUGGUCUGAGAGGACGAUCAGCCACAAUGGAACUGAGAUACGGUCCAUACUCCUACGGGAGGCAGCAGUGAGGAAUAUUGGGCAAUGGGCGAAAGCCUGACCCAGCGACGCCGCGUGGGUGACGAGGGCCUUCGGGUCGUAAAACCCUUUGGCAGGGACGAGUGAGGACGGUACCUGUCGAAUAAGUCUCGGCUAACUACGUGCCAGCAGCCGCGGUAAAACGUAGGAGGCGAGCGUUAUCCGGAUUUACUGGGCGUAAAGCGCGCGUAGGCGGGUGGGUAAGUCUGACGUGAAAGCCCCUGGCUCAACUGGGGGAGGUCGUUGGAUACUGCCGGGCUUGAGGGUGAGAGAGGAGAGUGGAAUUCCCGGUGUAGCGGUGGAAUGCGUAGAGAUCGGGAGGAACACCAGUGGCGAAAGCGACUCUCUGGCUCACUCCUGACGCUGAGUGCGCGAAAGCUGGGGAGCAAACGGGAUUAGAUACCCCGGUAGUCCACGCCCUAAACGAUGAGGGCUGGGUGUCGGCAGGGUUUCCUGUCGGUGCCGAAGCCAACGCGUUAAGCCCUCCGCCUGGGGACUACGAACGCAAGUUUAAAACUCAAAGGAAUAGACGGGGGCCCGCACAAGCAGCGGAGCGUGUGGUUCAUUCGAUGUAACACGAAGAACCUUACCAGGGUUUGACAUGCAUGUGGUAGGAAACUGAAAGGGGCCCGACCCGCAAGGGAGCAUGCACAGGUGCUGCAUGGCUGUCGUCAGCUCGUGCCGUGAGGUGUUGGGUUAAGUCCCGCACGAGCGCAACCCCUUUCGCUAGUUACAUGUGUCUAGCGAUACUGCCGGAUUAACUCCGGAGGAAGGCGGGGAUGACGUCAAGUCAGCAUGGCCUUUAUAUCCUGGGCUACACACACGCUACAUGGGCGCUACAGAGCGUUGCCAAGCCGUGAGGCGGAGCUAAUCGCACAAAGCGUCCUCAGUUCAGAUUGCAGGCU